rnacentral:tRNA from 1 species
GGAGGAGUCGGAUAGUGGUCAAUUCCGAAAGUUUGCUAAACUUUUGAGCUGAAAGGCUCUCGCGGGUUCGAAUCCCGCCUCCUCCG